GAACGCUAGCGGCAGGCUUAACACAUGCAAGUCGAGGGGCAGCGAGAGAGUAGCAAUACUUUUGUCGGCGACCGGCGGACGGGUGCGUAACGCGUAUGCAACCUACCUUAUACAGGGGGGAUAACCUUUUCGAAAGGGAGACUAAUACCGCAUAACAUUACUUUGAGGCAUCUUGAGGUAAUUAAAUCUUCGGAGGUAUAAGAUGGGCAUGCGUAGCAUUAGCUAGAUGGUGCGGUAACGGCGUACCAUGGCGACGAUGCUUAGGGGUUCUGAGAGGAAGGUCCCCCCACACUGGUACUGAGAUACGGACCAGACUCCUACGGGAGGCAGCAGUGAGGAAUAUUGGUCAAUGGUCGGAAGACUGAACCAGCCAUGCCGCGUGCAGGAAGAAUGUCUUAUGGAUUGUAAACUGCUUUUGUAUGGGGCUAAUAAUAACUUUGCGAAGUUAGAUGCAGGUACCAUACGAAUAAGGAUCGGCUAACUCCGUG
rnacentral:rRNA from 1 species